rnacentral:rRNA from 1 species
AAUAUUGGACAAUGGGCGCAAGCCUGAUCCAGCAAUGCCGCGUGAGUGAUGAAGGCCUUAGGGUUGUAAAGCUCUUUCGCACGUGACGAUGAUGACGGUAACGUGAGAAGAAGCCCCGGCUAACUUCGUGCCAGCAGCCGCGGUAAUACGAAGGGGGCUAGCGUUGUUCGGAAUUACUGGGCGUAAAGGGCGCGUAGGCGGUCCGCUCAGUCAGAAGUGAAAGCCCCGGGCUCAACCUGGGAAUUGCUUUUGAUACUGGUGGACUUGAGUUCCGGAGAGGAUGGUGGAAUUCCCAGUGUAGAGGUGAAAUUCGUAGAUAUUGGGAAGAACACCGGUGGCGAAGGCGGCCAUCUGGACGGACACUGACGCUGAGGCGCGAAAGCGUGGGGAGCAAACAGG